UACGUAGGGUGCGAGCGUUGUCCGGAAUUAUUGGGCGUAAAGAGCUUGUAGGCGGUCUGUCGCGUCUGCUGUGAAAAUCCGGGGCUCAACCCCGGACUUGCAGUGGGUACGGGCAGACUAGAGUGUGGUAGGGGAGACUGGAAUUCCUGGUGUAGCGGUGAAAUGCGCAGAUAUCAGGAGGAACACCGAUGGCGAAGGCAGGUCUCUGGGCCACUACUGACGCUGAGAAGCGAAAGCAUGGGGAGCGAACAGA
rnacentral:rRNA from 1 species